UCCUUGAUGGUCUAGUAGUUAGGACUCUACACUUUCACUGCUGAGGGCCCAGGUUCAAUCCCUGGUCAAGGAA
rfam:TPA: Bos taurus chromosome X, whole genome shotgun sequence.